GACGAACGCUGGCGGCGCGCCUAAUACAUGCAAGUAGAACGCUGAAGGAGGAGCUUGCUUCUCUGGAUGAGUUGCGAACGGGUGAGUAACGCGUAGGUAACCUGCCUGGUAGCGGGGGAUAACUAUUGGAAACGAUAGCUAAUACCGCAUAAUAGUAGAUGUUGCAUGACAUUUGCUUAAAAGGUGCAAUUGCAUCACUACCAGAUGGACCUGCGUUGUAUUAGCUAGUUGGUGGGGUAACGGCUCACCAAGGCGACGAUACAUGGCCGACCUGAGAGGGUGAUCGGCCACACUGGGACUGAGACACGGCCCAGACUCCUACGGGAGGCAGCAGUAGGGAAUCUUCGGCAAUGGACGGAAGUCUGACCGAGCAACGCCGCGUGAGUGAAGAAGGUUUUCGGAUCGUAAAGCUCUGUUGUAAGAGAAGAACGAGUGUGAGAGUGGAAAGUUCACACUGUGACGGUAUCUUACCAGAAAGGGACGGCUAACUACGUG
rnacentral:rRNA from 1 species